AUGGCGAUUGCUGGUGGCCCCCUGGCCCCUGGCUCCCGGGCCAGCAUCUCCCAGGGGCCACCAACGGCUUCUCGCGCAGGCUGUGCCCUCUCUGCUGAGUCAAGCCGAACCUUGCUGGCGUGUGUGCUGUGGGUGCUGAAAAACGCCGAGCCAGCGCUCCUGCAGCGCUGGGCCACUGACCUGACACUCCCCCAGCUGGGACGUCUGUUGGACUUGCUGUACCUCUGCCUGGCUGCCUUUGAGUACAAGGGGAAAAAGGCCUUUGAACGCAUCAACAGCCUCACCUUCAAAAAAUCGCUGGAUAUGAAGGCGCGGCUAGAGGAAGCCAUCCUGGGCACCAUUGGAGCUCGACAAGAAAUGGUUCGGCGAAGUCGUGGUAAGAGGGUGACAUACCCACAUGUCCCCAUCCCACCAGCUGCUCCCACCUUGUGUCAAGGGGACCCCAUGAAGGGGGCCAUCCCUAGCUUCCUUUCUGCCUCACUUUUCCUGGAGAGAAGUCCACACGUCAUCACCACACACAUGCGCCUGUGCGUCCCCAUCUGUCACUCGUGUCUGCCCUGUGCGU
rnacentral:sRNA from 1 species